AUGGCUCUCUCUUGUCUAGUCGCCCUCCUCUCAACCCUAGCCCUCGUCUUCACUUCCGACAGCGGCGGUGGGUUUUGGAACGACGAUAGUGGUGGGCUUUGUGUUGUCAGCCCCGGUUGGCUUCAGGCACGAGGUGAGCUGCGACUCAACCCCAUCACUCUUCCUUCUGAUCUCCUUGUAGUGGUGGAUGGGAGGUUUACCCACUCCUACCAAGCGGUUUCUCCAGUGCUCUGGCCUGGCAAAGGAUCUCACGAUGUCGGCGAUGAUUGUUGGAGCAUCCUCCGUGGCGGCGCUAGCAGCAAGCGGGUUGGUGUUGGAGAUCUGGAUUCAGAUCUUGCAAGGAUGAAGGAAAAGGCAAUUUCUGGUGAGGUGGUGGCUGACGACGGGGAUGAAUUUUUCGGGGCUUUGGGCCUCAAUAGGAUGAAGAACAAGGUUGUUGAGUUUCCUAUGAAGUUAAAGAAGCUAGGGCAAGAUGAUCCGAGAAGGAUUGUUCAUUCUCUCAAAGUAGGACUAGCAGUUUUGUUGGUGUCAUUGCUAUAUUACUGUGAUCCUCUCUAUGAUGGCCUUGGUGCCACAGCUAUGUGGGCUGUUUUAACUGUUGUGGUUGUCUUCGAAUUUUCCGUAGGAGCAACACUCGGAAGAGGUUUGAACAGGAUUUUGGCAACAUUUCUUGCAGGUUCUCUAGGAUUUGGUAUUCACCAUUUGGCAAAUCUAUCAGGAGAAAAAGGUCAUCCGAUACUGGUUAGCCUUUUUGUCUUUCUACUAGCUGCAUCAGUGACAUUUCUCCGCUUCUUUCCCCGGAUCAAGGCAAGAUAUGAUUAUGGACUCCUUGAUUUUUAUCUUGACAUUUUGUAUGAUAUCGGUAUCCGGAUACAGAGAUGAAGAGAUACUAGAAAUGGCACACAAGAGGGCUUCCACAAUCCUUAUAGGUGCCUUUACAGCUGUGUCUGUGUGUGUUUUCAUUUGCCCGGUGUGGGCUGGUGAUGAUCUGCACAACUCGGUUGCUACCAACAUUGAAAAGCUUGGGAGCUUCUUAGAAGGGUUUGGGAAUGAAUGCUUCAAAAAAUCUUUCAAGGGAGGAGAGUCUAACAAGGCACUUUUAAAAGGAUAUUGCAGUGUUCUAAACUCGAAACAGAGUGAAGAAAGUCAGGUUAAUUUUGCUAGGUGGGAGCCUAGGCACGGUCGGUUUAGGUUCCGUCAUCCUUGGAAACACUAUCUAAAGAUCGGAAGCCUUACCCGACAAUGUGCUUACCGGAUUGAUACUCUUAAUGGCUACAUCAACUCCGAAAUCCAGACACCGCUAAAUAUCCAAAGCCGCAAAGUUCAAGAGUUGUGCAUGAAGAUGAGCACAGAGUCGAGCGAGGCAUUGAAAGAACUGGCAUUGGCCAUGAAAGCAAUGACUCGACCAACAUCUGCCUCUGCACACAUAAUAAAAUCAAGAACUGCAGCUACUACCCUGAAAUCCUUUCUCAAGUCUCCAGGCUUGGGUGAAGAUAUUCUUUUACUAGACAUCAUACCAGCCGUGACUGUAGCUUCACUGUUAACUGAUGUAGUGGCCUACGUUGAACAAAUUGAAAAAUCCAUACAAGAAUUAGCCUCUCUUUCACAUGUACAGUUCAAGAGUGCAGAACCAAAAACGGAGCAGGAGCAGACAAAGUUACGCCAUCAUGGCAUGGUGCACCCUUGUCCUGAAACCGAAGGACCACAUCAUGUUAUCACAAUUGUUCAACCAUCGCUAGAGGAAAUAGAAAACAAACAAACCCCUUUUAGGCUAGCAUGCACGGAAAUGGGUAGAGAAAAGAGAUGA